UACGUAGGCAGCAAGCGUUGUUCGGAAUUACUGGGCGUAAAGAGUGUGUAGGCGGUGCUCCAAGUCUGGUGUGAAAUCUCCCGGCUCAACUGGGAGGGUGCGCCGAAUACUGAAUGACUUGGAGUGCGGGAGAGGAGAGUGGAAUUCCUGGUGUAGCGGUGAAAUGCGUAGAUAUCAGGAGGAACACCGGUGGUGUAGACGGCUCUCUGGACCGUAACUGACGCUGAGACACGAAAGCGUGGGUAGCAAACAGG
rnacentral:rRNA from 1 species